AUUGAACGCUGGCGGCAGGCUUAACACAUGCGAGUCGAGCGGGGGAAGGUAGCUUGCUACCGGACCUAGCGGCGGACGGGUGAGUAAUGCUUAGGAAUCUGCCUAUUAGUGGGGGACAACAUCUCGAAAGGGAUGCUAAUACCGCAUACGUCCUACGGGAGAAAGCAGGGGAUCUUCGGACCUUGCGCUAAAUGAUGAGCCUAAGUCGGAUUAGCUAGUUGGAGGGGUAAAGGCCUACCAAGGCGACGAUCUGUAGCGGGUCUGAGAGGAUGAUCCGCCACACUGGGACUGAGACACGGCCCAGACUCCUACGGGAGGUAGCAGUGGGGAAUAUUGGACAAUGGGCGGAAGCCUGAUCCAGCCAUGCCGCGUGUGUGAAGAAGGCCUUAUGGUUGUAAAGCACUUUAAGCGAGGAGGAGGCUACUUAGAUUAAUACUCUAGGAUAGUGGACGUUACUCGCAGAAUAAGCACCGGCUAACUCUGUGCCAGCCGCCGCGGUAA
rnacentral:rRNA from 1 species